AAAGCUUUAAGUUAAAUUUAAACUAUUAACCUUCAAAGUUAAAAAUAUACAUAAAGUACAAGCUUUA
rnacentral:tRNA from 1 species